GGUAGCGUGGCUGAGUGGUUUAAGGCGCUGGUUUUAGGCACCAGUCAUUUCGAUGAUGUGGGUUCGAAUCCCACCGCUGCCA
rnacentral:tRNA from 1 species